rnacentral:RNase_P_RNA from 1 species
CCAGCGCGUUGAGUAGCAGCCCCGAUGUUCCGUCAAACGAAAAUCGGGGAGGAAAGUCCGAACACUACCGGGUCGCAAGAUUCGGAGAAAGGUAGCAGGUAACCCCUGUCGUGCGCUCCUGGCGGGCGCAAGAGGUGCGAACAGAGACGAGCCUUCGAUUUCUUUAGGGUUUACCCUGAGCGAAGUCGAAGGGUGAAACGGCAAAAUCCUUACCCGAGUGCAAGGCCGUGCUCCAGCAAUGGAGAGUGCCGCUUGAGCUUGGUGGCGACACCAGGCCCAGAUAAAUUGUUGCUCAUAUUUGCUUUCGGGCAGAUUGGACAGAACUCGGCUUACAGACGCGCGCGCUAG